rnacentral:rRNA from 1 species
AGAACGAACGCUGGCGGCGUGGAUAAGACAUGCAAGUCGAGCGAGAUUUUUUCUUGUAGCAAUACAGGGAAAAGUCUAGCGGCGAACGGGUGCUUAACACGUGGGCAAUCUGCCGAGAAGUGGGGGAUAGCUCGCCGAAAGGCGAAUUAAUACCGCAUGUGAUUAGAGUGGACAUCCAUUCAAAAAUCAAAGUCGGGGCAACCUGACGCUUCUUGAGGAGCCCGCGGCCUAUCAGCUAGUUGGUGAGGUAACGGCCCACCAAGGCGAUGACGGGUAGCU